AGCGGUAUUGUGUAAUGGUAGCACAGCAGACUCUGACUCUGUUUGUCUGGGUUCAAAUCCUGGUACCGCUGCCA
rnacentral:tRNA from 10 species